AAAGCCUCCCAGCUUCUUCCGUCUUGCAUCAUCAUUUUAAACAAAAUAUACUAGAAUGUUCCAUUCCUGCUCUCUUCCUAUGAUUCAACCACUCUCUCAGGUUUAUUCUUCUCUUGCUCCAUUUGAAUUUUAUUACAUCUAUUUAUUUUAUGAAUGUCCAUCUCAUCUAAGACCAUAUGAAUGGAAAUUGCAUCUCAUUCUUACUUCUCUUCUAUUAAUUAGUUGCUCUGCCAUCUUCCUAUACGAACUUUUUGACUGAUUGAUUUCAAACUGGGUUGAAUUGCAAGGUAAAUUGGUCUGCUGCAUAUUAGAGUGGGAUAAACUUCUUCUACUCCAACACAGGCAAGGACCCAAUUCAUACUUCUCUCUACGUAAUUCUUUAUAUACUUUAAAAAUUGAUCCACAUUUAUCUAUUGCUACUUAAUGAGUUACUAUUUCUUAAAUGGAUUUGUUACGAAAUUAUCGAGUCACAGCAAUUUUCGAUUUUCCUGUAGCAGGUUGGGUCAUGUUUAAAUGGAUGUUUCUAAUCUUUUAAAUGGUUGGGUUGCAAAAGAAAUAUGAACAACAAUAUUUAAUAUGCCCUAAAAGUGUCGAUUGACUUUUGAGUUACAAUUGGCAAAAUAUAAUAAUUUUUUGUUAUAAAACAAAGUAAAGUGGCUUUCACAAACACUUUCUUUCAGUGACCUUCCGAGAAAUUGACUCGGGAUUUAAUGAUGGUUUUAAUAUUUUCUAAUUUGUUAUUAUAAUAGUUGAAGCGCUAUCCUUUUCGGGUCUUGCUGGAUCGGAGGAGUAAAACUUUCAUUCAAUAUGUUCUUUUGUUUUAUGAAUGCUGACCCAUUUCAUUUUUGAUGUGUUAUUUCUGAAUUUUAAAGUAGUAUCAUUCGCCCUUUUUAUUCUUCAUUUUUCUUCUUUCUCACAAAUUGUAUUUGAUAGAUGAAUGAGCUCAUAUUUUGAAAAGUUGGAAUCGGAUAGAAAAAGUCUAUAUUUGCCUAUAUGCAUCUUAAAAUUGUACGAAUUGAUGUUCAAAAUUUUUAUUCGUAGUUUUGUUUUCUACCCUCCAAAUUAAGCUGUCAUGUUCACUCUUAUUGUCUCUAUCAUGCAAGUUUGGCUAAGAUAUUUUCUAUAAUAAUUUGUGUUGCAUCUGUCUUGAAGGUUGACAUUGGUCUAGCUAUGGGCUUUCAAGGAACAGGGUCGCCAAAUAAAGCUUGAUGUCAUAAUACUGGAUGAUAAUUUUGUUGUUGUAAAGGUUUGUGUAUCGACGCGUUGUCAUCUUUUACUCGAAGUUUUCAGGCUCCUUUUCUUAUUAAAGGUAAAAUGUCUUGCAUUGUUUACUUGAGGAAAUUUAGCAUAUUUUUAAUAUAGUACUUUAAAGAUGUCUCUAAUGUUUUCAUAAAAUUUGUAUUGGCAUAUAUGAUAUUCCCAUAAGUCAACCAAUUAAGAAACUAAUUUUGAUUAGUAAUAAAACUGCCUAUGCUUACGCAUGAUUCAUGUGAAAAAAUGUGCAGCAAAACCUAAUGUGAUCUUGAUAUUUACUUAAAAACUGUUAGUUUUCCUUUACUUUCUGUUGAAAAUCAGCAUUUAGUUGAUUCUUCUUAACAGAAAGGAAACUUUCCUGCACUUUACUGAAAGAGAAAAAGCAUCAAGUUGAUGAUAAACACAUACUUCCAUUUAACAGUAAAUACAUACAUAGGGAGCUUUAAAUAUGUUAACUUAGAAAAAAAAAGGAAAUUUAAAUAUGUCAAACUGGAAAAAAUACUACUUUAUUCUUGUAUCCCUGUGAAAAAAUAUUCAAAGUUAUUAGAUCAGCUACACAUCAAUAUAGAAACAAAGUCAGAGAAGAUAAACGAAAAGGAAAGCAACAAGCAUGGCAAAUCAAAUUCUUGUUAGGAAAAUUCAAGAAGCUAAUGUGUCCAAUUAGAACUAUAAGUAAUCCUAAUAGACAAAAUUUGUCUGAUGUCUUACAAUAAAUUUUGCAGCUUCAACCAAUAGUGAUUGUUGAAUCGCAAGUUUAUGUGAGAAAGUGACAUAAAAGAAAAUGAAAUUGCAAGGAUAUAUUUGAAGACUCAUUCACUUUACUUUAUUUUGUGAUUUUAUAUAUAAAUUUUUUGGGUAUUAGAAUACCUGGAGCUUAGUAUGGAUCUAUGUUCAAAAAUCUGUUAACUGCUUUAUAUAGAGUACAGUAAUCGAAUAGCUCUUAUAGCUUUCUGACUCCUAACUCAUUGAUUGUUGUAAUAAGAGAUUGUGUGUGGAUAUAAAUCUUAGGCUACAGUCUGGUCUGUAAUUCAUUUGUUACUGCUAAGAAGUUUAGCCAAAUUCAAAUGGAUAAGGAUGUGAGGAAGAAUUGGCACGAAUAAACGAAUAGCUAUAUAUUAAUAUUUUCUAUAUGGCAGGAGAGGUAGGUAACACUAAAGAAUCAUUGAAUGAGCAAAAAAAAGAGCUGAGCAAAUGUUAGAAAAAUUGUCUAUUUACGUUUUCAAAGAAAUACGAAAGAGUAAAUUUUAUUGUUUUAGUAUAAUAGUAACAGAUAUGUUAGAUCUUUUCUUGUUUUUUUUGUGUGUUUUAUACUUUUAGAAAGAGAAAAAUCUACUAGAUAACCACAUCAAUUCUUUUGCUUCUUAUAAAGAGCAGAGGCGGAUCUAGGAUUUGAAGUUUUCGGGUGUCAUAUUAUUUUAUACAUAGAUAUAUUAUUAUUUAUACGGUCCAAAUGGGAUAAAUAUAUAGUCAGUUUGAUCAACUUUGUGCUUCGAUUCUAGCUAUUCAUCUUUUCGAUUUAUAUAGAUAAAUAUAUCGAACGAAAAUAAAUUAUGACAACUUAGCGCACAUCAUAAAAUUUUCAGCAGUAAUACCAAUAUCAUAAAAUUUCUUCCACGUGAAAAGUACAAAAAGACAACUUCUUUCAUGUUCUGACAAUUGGAAAUAUCUUCCAAUUAACAAAAUACUACCAUAAUCAGUUGGUCAAUAUAACUAAUAAGUAAGACAUACAUAAUUCUUUCAUCCUUAAGUAAACAAAAACAUACAUGUCAUAUGCAUUUUUGGUAUAAAUUUGAAUUAAGACUGAAAAUCUAAACUUCCAAUGAAUGCCAUCAAGGAAUCAACAGCAAG
rnacentral:lncRNA from 1 species